rnacentral:rRNA from 1 species
CACCAGCCCCUCGAGUGGUGGGGACUUUUAUUUGGCCUAAAGCGUCCGUAGCCGGCUGUUGCCGUCACCCGUUAAAUCCAGCGUCUCAAGCGUUGGACUGCGGGUGAUACCCUACAGCUAGAGGGUGGGAGAGGUAAGCGGUAUUCCUGGGGUAGGGGCGAAAUCCUUUGAUCCCAGGAGGACCACCAGUGGCGAAGGCUGCUUACUAGAACACGCCUGACGGUCAGGGACGAAAGCUGGGGCAG